rnacentral:rRNA from 1 species
CCAGCACCUGCGGUAAUUCCAGCUCCAAUAGCGUAUAUUAAAGUUGUUGCAGUUAAAAAGCUCGUAGUUGAACUUCUGGCUGUGGCUCCAGCAGGCUUCGGUCGCUGGCGUCGCGGUCAUCCGCUUGGGAACUACGUUCGGACUUCACUGUUCGGCGUAAGGAACAGGCAUUUUACUUAGAAAAAAUUAGAGUGUUCAAGGCAGGCUAUCGCCCUGAAUACACAAGCUUGGAAUAAUGAAAUAGGACUUUUUCCAUUUUAUUGGUUAUUGGAGAGAGUAAUGAUUAAUAGGGAUAGUUGGGGGCAUUAGUAUUGAGCUGUCAGAGGUGAAAUUCUUGGAUUUGCUCAAGACUAACAACUGCGAAAGCAUUUGCCAAGGAUGUUUUCAUUGAUCAAGAACGAAAGU